CUAAUAAUGUAUCCACUUACAUGUCUUUCACCAUCCUCUCUCCAGUCUUCCAGCCCACCCUCCAAGAUGAAACCAUCCUCUUAAAUUUUGGGUUCCCAGCUUCACCCACAGAACCUCUCCUUCCUGAGAAAGAUCCAGACACUGUCACUGCCCACAUUUCCCUUUUCCUGGCUCAGCCCAGAGCUGGUGUAUGGCAGUCCUGAGACCACACUAACACUGAGGUCCCCAAGCCACCUAUCAGGGAAGGACUGACACCCAGUCACCCACCCAGACCCAGACACUGGUCUCGGAGCUUGAUAGACAAGGCUGGAUGCACCUGCCCUGAGAGAAUGGGCCGGAAAAAGAACAAAGUGCUUAAUAAAAUUCUAUGGCAGAGGAACGGGGCCUGCCAGGAGGGGACUAGAUCCUCAAUACAACAACAAUAUGACAAUAGUUCAACACAGGAGCUUCCUUACCUUCUGCUAACUGGCAAUGUCAAGCCUGUGACAGCGUCACUUACCCACCGGGAUAGCAGAAAGAGCUAAGGCCAAAGGCACACAGGUAGCAUGGGCUCCCUGAGAACAGCCUCUGGUAGCCAUAUCCUUAGGUCAAAUAAACCAGAUACCUGGGGAUGCCCGGGAGCCAGAGUGGUUUCCACCUUUACUACUCUUGGCUCAGAUGUCUCUCAGCCCUCCUGUUCUCUGUCCAGAUGCCACCCUCCUAUUUAAGCCUCUCCUUGGACUGCCAUACACUCAGGAUGGGGACCAGCCUGGCCUAACUGGAGCCCUAAGUAGCAGCAGAUGCAGGGACCCAGGAAGUGUGAGGGGCCCUGAGGAGGAG
rnacentral:lncRNA from 1 species